rnacentral:lncRNA from 1 species
AGGAAUGUUCAAAGAAGCAUCUGGUGCUUCUGUUCUGAACCGUACCCGGACAGCCUGGGUCGAGGCGCAGCCUGGGGGCCACGGCGGGCCACUGCUGGGCUACCUUGUCGUGCUGACAGAGGGGGAGCAGAGAGCUCUGGAACCUGCAGACCUGGGCCAGGAGUGGUGACCUCGAGACACACCCGUGCACACCUGUGCACCUCUGGCCGCCACCCAUGGGAGAAGGUGACAGGUGAGAGGUGUCCACGGGCUGGGAGGAGCAGUCUUACCCACCCGGGGGCCCUCUGGCUGUGCUGCUGGUGGCCGCCGCCGUCGCUCCAGGCAUCUGUUUUCUUUCUAAAACAGAUACCAACAGGGCUUCAAAAGACAGCGUGAGAAUUCAAUGUUAGUCCCUUCGCUUGGGAUGUCGCCAAAUAGUCUCAAGUGGGAGUUGCUCAGAGGAGAGCUUCAUUUAUUUACUUGUCACAGGCAAAGGCGACAGCGAGCGGGGAGAAUUCCCCAGACUCUGCUUCCCUGAGAAGCACGUGGCCGGGGCUGUCCCCGCCAGGGCCAGGGGCGCGUCCUGGGCGCAGAAACGGGACUGGCCGUCCUGCCCGAGCCACAGCCUCCUACACGGCACGCUCAACAGCGGAGACUCAGGGGCCAGCGCUGGGCUGCAGUGGACUAAGCUGCCGGCCAAGUCACCUGCAUCCUGUGUGGGCGCCGGUCUGAGUCCCGGCUGCUCCACUUCCCAUCCAGCUCCCUGCUGAUGCACCUGGGAAAGCAGCUGAAGAUGGCCCAAGGGCGUGGGCUCCUG